rnacentral:rRNA from 1 species
GACGAACGCUGGCGGCGUGCCUAAUACAUGCAAGUCGAGCGGACAGAAGGGAGCUUGCUCCCGGAAGUUAGCGGCGGACGGGUGAGUAACACGUGGGCAACCUACCCUGUAGAUCGGGAUAACAUCGAGAAAUCGGUGCUAAUACCGGAUAAUCAUUUGAAGUGCAUGCUUCGAAUGUAAAAGAUGGCUCCGGCUAUCACUACGGGAUGGGCCCGCGGCGCAUUAGCUAGUUGGUAAGGUAAUGGCUUACCAAGGCAACGAUGCGUAGCCGACCUGAGAGUGGGAUCGGCCACACUGGGACUGAGACACGGCCCAGACUCCUACGGGAGGCAGCAGUAGGGAAUCUUCCGCAAUGGACGAAAGUCUGACGGAGCAACGCCGCGUGAGUGAUGAAGGUUUUCGGAUCGUAAAGCUCUGUUGUUAGGGAAGAACAAGUGCCGUUUGAAUAAGGCGGCACCUUGACGGUACCUAACCAGAAAGCCACGGCUAACUACGUGCCAGCCGCCGCCGUAA